rnacentral:hammerhead_ribozyme from 1 species
AUCCAGUUGACGAGUCCCAAAUAGGACGAAACGCGUGUCCUGAAU